rfam:Alligator sinensis unplaced genomic scaffold scaffold13_1, whole genome shotgun sequence
GUGGCUGAGUUUGGUCCUGGUUGCUUUGUAAGUGGUAUAAUGUAACCAUAUCCAGCCACGUACAUUAAAACAGGAUCCUGCCGACAGUGCCUGUCCAGCUAUCAGACUUACUGUGCGAUGGAUCCAUACAUG